UGGGCGUACCGCAGGGAAGUAUUCCUGGACCGAUCCUGUUUAUUGUUUACAUCAAUCGGCUACCAAAGGCCAAAGUUUCAGCAAGGCACUCAAUGGGGAUGUUUGCAGAUGAUACCAACUAUAGGCUAAAAUCCUCUAAUAUUUCAACAGCUAUUGAAGACUCUAAUAAUGUACUGAAGUCGGUGGGAGACUGGUUUCGUAACCACAAUCUCAUCUUGAACAUCGACAAGACACAAUGUAAUAAUCUCAUGGUCAAGGAUAGUAUUGUUUUUUUAGGAAUUGUAAUGGAUAAACACUUGAAGUGGGGACCUCACAUUGAACAACUUAGAGGAAGACUAAAUUCUGUAUGUUACAUGCUUUUUAUGUUGAGAAAUCAGGUUGAUUUUGAUUUGUUGAAACUUGUAUACUUUUCUAAUUUCCAGUCAAUUCUAUCAUAUGGGAUAAUCUUUUGGGGUAAUGCUUCUCAUGUUUGUGAUUUGUUUGUGAUUCAAAAACGGGCAUUGAGAACUAUAUUAAAUUUAGGCUAUAGACAGUCUUGUAGGGGUUUUUUCAGAAGCAAUAAUAUACUUACCAUCUCUGGUUUGUACAUUUAUAGAUUGUUGAUUUUUUUCAGUAAACAAAAUCAUUAUUUUGAAUCGUUUAAGAAUUUAAAUAAUACAAGAAGAAUGUUCCCUUUCUAUGUACCAGUUCAUAAGACCACCCUAAGGGAAAAAAGUGUUGAAUGUAUGGCAGUAAACUUAUUCAACUUAUUGCCCUCACAAAUAAGAAAUCUCUCUUGUCACAUAAAAUUCAGGAAAGCUUUAUAUGUCUUAAUUUUAAGUUGUGAGCCUUACAAUAUUGAUGAAUUCAAACAGUUUUGUAAAAUUUAGUUGAUUAGAUAGUUACGUUUUUUGUAUUUUGACUUGUUCCAUCUUUACUUCUUUAUGUGUAAUUUUAUGGAAUAAAUAAACAUUAUUAUUAUAA